rnacentral:misc_RNA from 1 species
ACCCGAAGCCGGUGCGCUAACCUCGCAAGAAGAGGCAGCCGUCCACGGUCGGGUCAGCGACUGGGGUGAAGUCGUAACAAGGUAGCCGUAGGUGAACCUGCAGAAGGACA